CGCAGGAAAAGAAACUAACCAGGAUUCCCUUAGUAGCGGCGAGCGAAGCGGGAAAAGCCCAAUAUGAAAAGCCUUUUUGGCGUUGUAUUUUGAGCGUUCUUGAGGUGUCAGUUCGGGAAAGUGUGCAUGAAAAUGCCCGCCGCGGAGGGUUAAAGCCCCGUCCAUCCUGGACACGACAUCCUCGUACACGAACGUUUCAGUCGAGUCGGGUAGCUUGGGAAUGCUGCUCUAAUAGGUGAUAAAUCUCAUCUAAGGCUAAAUACUGGUGAGAGACCGAUAGUGAACAAGUACCGUGAGGGAAAGUUGACAAGCACUUUGAAAAGAGGGUGAAAAGAACCUGAAACCGUUACGGGGGAAGCGGAUUGCGUCGAAUUGAAUGAGUGCGUGUUGCUCAGCCCCAUAUUUUAUGGAGUGUAUUCAUCACGUUACUUACCCGUCGUGGGUUUCUGGUAGUCGAUUUUGCGGCUGCUGGGGGCUGAGGGAUCCCCUUUCUAGGGUGAGGACGACGGGGCGCCGACGCGAUACGACCCGUCUUGAAACACGGACCAAGGAGUCUAGCGUAGCUGCGAGUCGUAGGGUAUUGAAACCUGAGGGCGCAGUGAAAGCAAAUUGUAUUUUUUGAAAAAACUAAGUUUUUUUUGGCAGUUUGAGGCGGCAUACGAUCUUUGAUUGUAAGUCCGACCUUGAGCAGUUAUGCUAGGACCCGAAAGAUGGUGAACUAUGCCGGAGUAGGGCGAAGCCAGAGGAAACUCUGGUGGAGGCUCGUAGCGUUGCUGACGUGCAAAUCGCUCGUUAAACUCGGGUAUAGGGGCGAAAGACUAAUCGAACCAUCUAGUAGCUGGUUUCCUCCGAAGUUUCUCUCAGGAUAGCAGGCCGAAAUUUUGUUGUUGUGUGUGGUAAAGCGAAUGAUUAGCGUACUUGGGGGCUCUAUGCCUCCAGACGAUUCUCAAACUUUAAAUGCGCACGGAUGUUGCUGCUUUGUUGAGUGGCAUCGUCAAAAACUUCGGCUUUGUGGGCCAUUUUUGGUAAGCAGAACUGGCGAUACGGGAUGAACCGUAAGUGUGGUUAAGGCGUCAAAGUAUCCGCUUAUAGAUUCCAAAAAAGGUGUUGAUUCAUUAUGACAGCAGGACGGUGGCCAUGGAAGUCGGAAUCCGCUAAGGAGUGUGUAACAACUCACCUGCCGAAUGAAUUAGCCCUGAAAAUGGAUGACGCUUAAGCGGGUGGCCGACACCACGCCGUCUGAACAAAUAAAUUUUUUUAUAUGCUUUCAGAUGAGUAGGAGGACGUGGCGGUCGUAUCGAAGCGUGCGUGCAAACGUGCGUGGAACGGCCGCUAGUGCAGAUCUUGGUGUCAGUAGCAAAUAUUCAAUUGAGAACCUUGAAGGGCGAAGCGGGGAAGGGUUCCACGCGAACAUUGAUUGGGCGUGGGUAAGUCGUUCCUAAGCCGCGUGGCAAUAGCUAAGUAUUGGCGAAAGGGAAGCAGGUUGACAUUCCUGCACACGGAUGUGGAGGCGGUGACGCACUUCUGGGACGAUUAAGCUGGCGAUGGCACUGGGCAGAGUUGUCUUUUCUGUUUGACCGUACCAUACGCGCUGUGUGGAAUCCGCUUGUCGGGAGAAACACGCGUGUUUGGGCAGAGCGCCGGGGUUUUUCCGGUGUCCAGACCGCCAUCGACGGACCUUGAAACAUCGUCUGCUGGCAGAUUAUUUCGAAUCUCAUUUUUUUGGGCUUAGAAUUCUGUGUGAAAAAUCCACGCCGUAACGUACCGAUAACCGCAUCAGGUCCCCAAGGUGAACAGCCUCUGCUCGAUAUGAACAAUGCAGGUAAGGGAAGUCGGCAAAUUGGACCCGUAACUUUGGGAAAAGGGUUGGCUCUAGUGCUGCGUGGGAGUGGUUGUUUUGUUGUGGGGGUGCUUUUUCGGUGAACCUCUUUGGUUGUGUGACGUUUUUGGUCUUGUAUCAGGACUUGCAUGGCUAGAGGAUCUCGUGGGCGCUCUUGCUCGAAACGACGCCCACAGUAUGCAGCAAACUAGAACUGCAACGGGCAAAGGGAAUCCGACUGUUUAAUUAAAACAAAGCAUUGCGAAGGCCGUGGCCGGUGUUGACGCAAU
rnacentral:rRNA from 1 species